CAUGCAGCGGUUCGAGCGGGACCCGUACGCGGACAGGGCGCGGUACUCUGCGUUUUGAGUCGGAGGAUGUGACCCCAAAGAGGAAGAAGCUUGGCAGGAAAAUCCCUCCCUGAGGAAGCAGCUCUGGGCUUUCCCCGUACGCUAGGAAUGGCAGAGACUUUUGCCGCGGCCUUGGAGAGCGGCACCCGACGGCCCUCGGAGGCUUGGCGGAGCUCUCGUUCUGGUCGCGUGCGCCGGGGCGGAAGCGUUCGGCCGGACCCCCCGCACCCGCUCCCCCGCUGCCCGCCCGCCGCGGGCUCCGGGGCGCCGCUGCCCUGCGCUUUUUUUUACGGAGGUUCCUGCGUCUCGGUCCCGCUGCGGCCCC
rnacentral:lncRNA from 1 species